rnacentral:rRNA from 1 species
GACAGAGGUGCCAAGCGUUAGGCGGAAUCACUGGGCUUAAAGCGUGUGUAGGCGGACUGGUAAGUACCUUGUGAAAUCCCACGGCUCAACCGUGGAACUGCUCGGUAUACUGCUCGUCUUGAGCCACUUAGGGGCUGUCGGAACAAACGGUGGAGCGGUGAAAUGCGUAGAUAUCGGGAGGAACAUCAGUUGCGAAGGCGGCUCUCUGGACCAGCACUGACACUGAGGCACGAAAGCGUGGGGAGCAAACAGG